rnacentral:rRNA from 1 species
AGGGAAUAUUGGGCAAUGGAGGCAACUCUGACCCAGCCAUGCCGCGUGCAGGAAGAAGGCCUUCUGGGUUGUAAACUGCUUCUGAAUGGGAACAAAGAAUCCUUGCGAGGAGAGAUGAGUGUACCAUUAGAAUAGGCACCGGCUAACUCCGUGCCAGCAGCCGCGGUAAUACGGAGGGUGCAAGCGUUGUCCGGAUUUAUUGGGUUUAAAGGGUGCGUAGGCGGUUUAUUAAGUCAGUGGUGAAAUCCUGCAGCUCAACUGUAGCAUUGCCAUUGAUACUGAUAAACUUGAGUACAGACGAGGUAGGCGGAAUUGAUAGUGUAGCGGUGAAAUGCAUAGAUACUAUCAAGAACACCGAUUGCGAAGGCAGCUUACUAGGCUGUAACUGACGCUGAGGCACGAAAGCGUGGGGAGCAAA